rnacentral:SRP_RNA from 1 species
GCCCGGGCCCUGUGCAAGUCGUCUUCACCCAACCCCGUCAGGUCCGGAAGGAAGCAGCGGUAAGUGACGGGCGGCUGUGCCGCAGAUCGCUUGGUUGGA